AACCAUUAUUCAUAUCCAUUAUCAUUUUCUUUCAGUUUUUGAGCUCAUUUUUAUUUAAUCAAUCUCCUUACUGAUGAUGGUCAUACGGGCAUGUCGGUUCUCGACCCUUGAAUUAAAGGAUUUUGUGAAAACACAUGACAUGGCCGGUGGUUGCGGUUAUAGUGUUAUUAGGUGAUUCUGGUUAGGUGAUGUAUUGGGCGGCUGAAUGUUGAUUUCGAUGGCAGAAAAUUGUAUGUGAUAUGCUAUUAGCACGGUCACAGAAAACAGGACGUUCGGAUGCAGACAAGUGAAACAGUGUCAUUUUAUGUUAAGUUUCUGGCACGUUUACAAAACAGAAAAUCUUGAUGAAAUGAAGUGUUUGUGCUACCCAGGUGAUAUGUUGAUGUGUCUUUGUGUGUUUCUCUAGAUGUAAAUGAUGUAAUGACUAGUGAGGAUGAAAAGCCCAGUAUUUGUUGGUAUGAUGGAGAUAGGGGCUUGAGUCCUUGGUUCGUAUCUUUGUCAUCUGACCUUUGCCAUGACAGGUGCGCUUGCAUGGCAGGUCACCCAAUAUCCUUAAUAAAAGCUACUAUUUUGGUGUGGUUGAGGGGAGAUCGUACAGGAUUGCCUGGGUUCUCCUCUCUGGUGUGUGAUGUGUCUUGCUUUCUUAUCGGUUUCUCUAAAUCACACAGCACAACCAAUAGCAAUACAUCUAAUGCAAUGCCAGGAUAGUGCGAUUUCUCAACAAUUCGCUCGUUUUACAACUUGCCGCCUGAAAGGUAUACUCUGUUCUUUCACAUCCCUGUUUCCUUUUUCUUAUGGUACUGAACCAAAAAGGCACUGACUAUACUCUUAUAAUACACAUUUGCUGCUAGCUAUUUCGGUUAAAAGGUAAUCUUGGUUAUGGCAUUGGUAUCAUCAUUAGGGUGAUUUCAAAGUUGAAUUUAACUGGCAUUGAAUUGAGUUGUUCUUUUAUGUUAUCUCGUUCAUUUAACAUGACUGAGCGAUUUAAUUUCCUUUUGGCGCAAAAUUUAACUGAUACUGAUUGUUGUUUCUGAAAGUGGACUUAAAAUGCCAAAACAUAGGUGUCAAGAAGUUUUCGUGCAACAUUCUCUUGCAAACCUUUUUAUUGAAUCUUAUCUAGCAGAUCAAACCAUUCUUAAAACUGGUUUCAUAGCAAUUUUGUUACGUGUAUAUCUUCAUUAUCAAUCAGAUACAUACCAGUGACAAUAUUUCAAUAGUGAACGAAGUUAAUCUGAUGUCUAUUUAGUCGACUGGUUUCUGCUAUGUGAAAUAAUAUAUGUUCUGUUAUCCUACAUUAUUUGUGUAUUUGUUCUUCAAAUGAUUGUUUGCCAUCAAUACUAACCAUCGUCAUCUCCUGUUAUAGCAUGUUAUGUCUAAAUUUAUGUUAUGCAAAUGUAUUAUGUCAUAGAAUCGAUUGGACAAAUAGAACGCUGCUGUAUAAUCUGGGUUUUCCUGCAUAUGAGGAAGAUGCUUGUCAGUUUCAAUAUGAUUUUUGAGGAGAAGUGAAGAACAAGACUUAAGACCUCUUAUGUUGGCGGUGGCCGGAGGCCGGAGAUGGUGUCCAACAGUUUAAAGGCAAUCGACGGUAGCUGAUGGCGGGGAUGCCUGCCGAAGGGGGAAGUGGUCGGUGGUGACUAAAGGGGUUGUCCGAAGUUGGUCGAUGGUCAUUAGAGGGUCUGUCCAAAGGUGGUUGACGGUGACCUUGGUUGUGGGUGGUGGUCAGUAUUGGCUAGAGGCGGCUUACCGGAGGGGAUUGCCCGUAAGUGGGUGGUCGAAGGCGAGGGUGGCCGAAAGUGAUCGGUGGUCAAUUUGGGUCAACUUAAAUCGAUUUGGGUUCGUUUAGAGUGUCAACAUUUUUUGUAAAUUUUUGAACUUUUGGAUACAAAUAUAAUAUAUGGGCGUAAUUAGCAA